GACGAACGCUGGCGGCGUGCCUAAUACAUGCAAGUAGAACGCUGAAGGAGGAGCUUGCUCUUCUGGAUGAGUUGCGAACGGGUGAGUAACGCGUAGGUAACCUGCCUGGUAGCGGGGGAUAACUAUUGGAAACGAUAGCUAAUACCGCAUAAUAGCAGUUGUUGCAUGACAGCUGUUUGAAAGGUGCAAUUGCAUCACUACCAGAUGGACCUGCGUUGUAUUAGCUAGUUGGUGGGGUAACGGCUCACCAAGGCGACGAUACAUAGCCGACCUGAGAGGGUGAUCGGCCACACUGGGACUGAGACACGGCCCAGACUCCUACGGGAGGCAGCAGUAGGGAAUCUUCGGCAAUGGACGGAAGUCUGACCGAGCAACGCCGCGUGAGUGAAGAAGGUUUUCGGAUCGUAAAGCUCUGUUGUAAGAGAAGAACGAGUGUGAGAGGGAAAGUUCACGC
rnacentral:rRNA from 1 species